rnacentral:rRNA from 1 species
GUUAGUGGCGAACGGGUGAGUAAUACAUAGGUAACCUGCCCUAAAGAUGGGGAUAACUUUUGGAAACGAAAGGUAAUACCGAAUAGGAGAUUUGAAGGCAUCUUUAAAUCUUUAAAGGAGCAAUCCGCUUUAAGAUGAGCCUAAAUCAGAUUAGCUAGUUGGUGGGUAAAGGCCCACCAAGGCGACGAUCUGUAACUGGUCUGAGAGGAUGAUCAGUCACACCGGAACUGAGACACGGUCCGGACUCCUACGGGAGGCAGCAGUGGGGAAUAUUGGACAAUGGAGGCAACCCUGAUCCAGCCAUGCCGCGUGUGUGAAGAAGGCCUUUUGGUUGUAAAGCACUUUAAGCAGGGAGGAGAGGCUAAUGGUUAAUACCCA